rnacentral:rRNA from 1 species
GACGAACGCUGGCGGCGUGCUUAACACAUGCAAGUCGAACGGAAAGGCCCUGCUUUUGUGGGGUGCUCGAGUGGCGAACGGGUGAGUAACACGUGAGUAACCUGCCCUUGACUUUGGGAUAACUUCAGGAAACUGGGGCUAAUACCGGAUAGGAGCUCCUGCUGCAUGGUGGGGGUUGGAAAGUUUCGGCGGUUGGGGAUGGACUCGCGGCUUAUCAGCUUGUUGGUGGGGUAGUGGCUUACCAAGGCUUUGACGGGUAGCCGGCCUGAGAGGGUGACCGGCCACAUUGGGACUGAGAUACGGCCCAGACUCCUACGGGAGGCAGCAGUGGGGAAUAUUGCACAAUGGGCGGAAGCCUGAUGCAGCAACGCCGCGUGCGGGAUGACGGCAUUCGGGUUGUAAACCGAUUUCGCCUGUGACGAAGCGUGAGUGACGGUAAUGGGUAAAGAAGCACCGGCUAACUACGUG